UUCUUCACCAAUUAAUCAAUCAUCUAUCUCAGAUAGACAAAUUCUUCUUUUCUCUUCUUUCCCUCUUCCUCUUUUUCUUUCUUUAUCUCUCUUCCUUUUCUCCCUCUAUCUCUCUCUCUCGCUUUUUCUCUUUCUUUCUUUCUCUGUCUAUACAUAUUUGAUGUGUCUCAUAAUGAUAAUGUAUUAGACAAAAUUAAGAAGGACAUUCAAUGAAAAGAUAAAGAAAAGAAAUAAAGAAUCAAAGAAAAGAAAAUGUAUUUCUCUUCAGUUCCUGACGAUUGUUUCAUUUUCACUUUGGAAAAAACUCUAAGUCUCAAUUUAUUUAUGGAAUCUCAUUCAUUCUGAACAGUUAAUUAUCCAGCGAACAAUCAAAGUUCUGAAAUUUUAAGCGAAAAACAAUUCGUUUCCAUAAACGUUCAAGAAAUUGUGUAUAAAUUGUUUCUUUAAUUCAGAUUAUACAUUCAAAUACCUUGAGUUGUGUUCAACAAUUGA